UGGCGGACGGGUGAGUAACGCGUGAGUAACCUGCCUUUCAGAGGGGGAUAACAUCCUGAAAAGGAUGCUAAUACCGCAUGACAUAUCGAGGCCGCAUGGUCUUGGUAUCAAAGGAGCAAUCCGCUGAGAGAUGGACUCGCGUCCGAUUAGCCAGUUGGCGGGGUAACGGCCCACCAAAGCGACGAUCGGUAGCCGGACUGAGAGGUUGAACGGCCACGUUGGGACUGAGACACGGCCCAGACUCCUACGGGAGGCAGCAGUGGGGGAUAUUGCACAAUGGAGGAAACUCUGAUGCAGCAACGCCGCGUGAGGGAAGAAGGUCUUCGGAUUGUAAACCUUUGUCCUUGGUGACGAAACAAAUGACGGUAGCCAAGGAGGAAGCUCCGGCUAACUACGUGCCAGCAGCCGCGGUAAU
rnacentral:rRNA from 1 species